rnacentral:tRNA from 1 species
AUUUCUUUAGUAUAAAAAAUAUAUUUGACUUCCAAUCAAAAGCCCUUCCUAAAGAAGAAGAAAUA